UCCCCCUCUUCCCGCGGGAUACGCACCGAAAUCGCUCUCGUAAUAAUGCACUGCGACGCUCGCUAUAAAUUGACGCGCUAAUGACAUUUUAUUUAGUCUUUAAAUAUGAAUCAUGCGUCUGAUAUUCCAUCUGUGUCUGCUCGCUAGCAUCAUUAUUUCCGUGCCAUCUUCUAUCGCCUCAUCAUCAACGGUUUCCAGCUCCGUGAAGAAUGAGGCUCUCAGGGAUCAGCACGUGUCUGAGACCCCGCGAGAGGCGACAGCACCGGGCAAUUCGACCGAAGGCAAAACAGGAGAGCACCCUGUCACCAUUACAUAUCCCUCCCGACUCAUCUACUACCUGAACGAGGAGUCGGAGAGCACCUUUCAUGAUCUGGACACUCGGGCAAAGAACCAGGCUGGAGACGGACAGGAUGUCCACCUGGCCCAAGCAAGUUUCCAGCUGGACGCCUUUGGCACCACAUUCACUCUGGACCUUACUUUAAACAAUGAUCUACUGUCUUCAGAUUACAUGGAGAUCCACUAUGAGAAUGACAAGCCAGUUCUAUCCAGGGGAGGCGAGCACUGCUAUUACCAUGGCCAUGUGAGAGGAAAAGAAGACUCCCGUGCAGCCUUAUCCACCUGCAACGGGCUUCAUGGGAUGUUUGAUGAUGGCAAUUUCGUCUAUCUCAUCGAGCCCCAGAAACAGAUGCACACCACGGAGACAGAGGCGCGGCCUCACACUUUACGACGAACAUCAUCUCUCGGUCUAACCUCUGUCCCAGAUGACUGGACUGCUGAUGACCCAGAUGAGGAAAAGCGUAUUUUCGCCAGCAUGCCUUGGCUAAAGAGAAGGAGGAAAAGAGCUAUGCCACGUAACAUUUUUGAGGAAAUGAAGUAUCUGGAAAUAAUGAUCGUUGCUGAUCACAAUACGUUUAAAAGGCAUAGGAGUAAGAAGCAUACCCGGAACACAGCCAAAUCAUUGGUCAACCUCGUGGACGCUAUUUUUAAGGAGCACCUGAAUACGCGUGUGGUUCUGGUUGCAGUGGAGAUUUGGACAGACAAGGACCGGAUUCCUCUAAGUGUGAAACCUCUGGAAAUGUUAAAAGAUUUUUCAAAGUACCGACAGCAGAACAUCAACAUCAAUGCUGACGCUGUGCAUCUCUUCACGAAUAUGACGUUUCAUUAUGGUCACAGCAGUGUGGGGUAUAUUGGCGGAGUGUGUUCAAAAGCAAGAGGGAUUGGUGUUAAUGAGUUUGGCAACAACUGGGCGAUGGCUGCAUUUUUUUCUCAGAGCCUAGCACAAAAUCUGGGCAUCCAAUGGGAUCCUUCUCUCAGGAGGAAGGAGUGUGGCUGCAUGGAUUCUUGGGUGGGAUGUAUUAUGGAAGACAAUGGAGUACAACACCCACGCAAGUUUUCCAAAUGCAGCAUCACCGACUACAGGAACUUCCUUCUCAGAGGAGGUGCUUCAUGUCUGUUUAACAAACCCAAUAAGCUUUUUGAGGCUACAGAAUGUGGCAAUGGUUAUGUUGAAGUGGGAGAAGAGUGCGACUGUGGGGCGCGAAUGGAGUGCUAUAAAGACUGCUGUAAAAAGUGCUCAUUGUCUAGUGGAGCUCAUUGCAGUGACGGGCCCUGCUGCAAUGGCACGUGUUUGUUCUACCCACGGGGAUACAGCUGUCGAUUUGCUGUAAAUGAUUGUGACAUAUCAGAGACGUGUUCAGGAGAUUCAGGACAGUGCCCUCCUAAUCUCCAUAAGCAAGAUGGCUACUCUUGUCAGCUCAAUCAGGGUCGCUGUUACAGUGGUGAAUGUAAGACCCGGGAAAGUCAGUGCAAAUACAUCUGGGGUCCAAAGGCUGGAGGGUCGGAGAAGCACUGCUAUGAAAAGUUAAAUACAGAGGGAACAGAAAAGGGGAACUGUGGGAGAGAUGGAGACAAAUGGGUGCCCUGCAGCAAACACGAUGUGUUCUGCGGGUACCUGCUGUGCUCUAGUACUGGGAGAAUCCCACGGAUCGGGACCCUGAAAGGAGACGUCACUCCCACCACCUUCAACCAUCAGGGGCGACUGGUGGACUGCAGUGGUGGGCAUGUGCUGUUGGACGAUGACACUGAUCUUGGGUAUGUGGAAGACGGUACGCCAUGUGGCCCCUCUAUGAUGUGCCUUGAGCGGAAGUGUCUCCCCAUCUCCUCUCUGAACCUCACAGCCUGUCCGUCUGGUCCGGGCGGUCGAGUCUGCUCUUCUCACGGCGUGUGCAAUAAUGAAGCAACCUGCACGUGUGAUGCUACCUGGGCAGGAACUGACUGCAGCAUGCAUGAUCCGCCGAAAGAGCCGCCUGUCAUCGAGGACCCGGGUCCCAAGGGUCCUAGCGCCACCAACCUUAUCAUAGGCUCCAUCGCAGGGGCCAUCCUGAUGGCAGCCAUAGUGCUGGGGGGGACGGGAUGGGGAUUUAAGGUGAGAGUUUGAGCGGAGAGGGGUGGAGGUUGUGUCGUAGGCAGCCUUUGUGCCAUGGCUGGCUGCCACGCCCUCUUAUCUCCCGGAAGGCCCUGGGCCCCCCUGAAAACCUAGAACAGAGCAAGAGCCCUCACCCCCCACCCGGACUCGCCCGGCACCGCUGCCUUUACUGCCUGCUUCACAGAGACCUGAAAUGUCAAGAAAAGACGAUACGACCCUAACGCCAGUGCCAUCUAAAGGCUAAGAGAACUGCACCCUUGCCUAGUGUGCCCCUGGGUUCAGUGGGAACCCACUGGACUGUACCCUCUCCUGCUGCUGACGGCGUCGGCAUUACUUGAAUUAAAAAAAGGACAGAAAGUGAGAGAAGAGAGAGACUGAAUGAUCAAUCAUUUUUUCAUCCGAUGUCACAUAGAACUGCUUCUCUAGCGCUACCCCCAUCCCCCACUGUUCCUUUGCCCUCUGGUCCAGAGCAUCCAUACUGAGAAUGCCCGAAAUACUGAUAAAGGAUGGUAGCACUCAUCGGGGCAUGACUUCCGGUUUACACGCCCCUACCUCCGGUUCCGACCCAGGCAUGACCAGCUUCAGCUGUGGACCUCGCAUGGCAAAGGAGGGACACCAAUGCAAGAACAUAUUUGUUCUAAAGAAGAAUGACUUGAAGUUCCAGUAGGUUGGUGACACAUGUGAGUGUGUGUUUUACCAUGAUGUCUAAUGAGAGGGACCCAUAUCUUCUUCGGACAAACAUUUCAAGGCAGUCUUUUUUUAGCAUGUUAUUGCAGCCAUUUUCUGUAGUAUUAAUGAAGACACCCAGAUGAAAAAGUAAAAAAAGAAAAAAAAAUCAAUCCAUUUGGCCAGCAGCGUAUACAGCUGCAUGAUGAAAUCACUACAGUUAUAUAUGCCUGAUGACAUCAAUUCCCCUUAAAAGAGAGAAAAAAAUGAGAGAACAAAACUGGCUGGGCCCUGUAGGUCUGCCCUGACCUGAAUGCCGUAACUGGCCAAUCAGAGAGCUGCAUGAUGUAAUUGCACUGGGGGCGGAGCCCACACAGCCUGCUGCGCUUUUCAAGGUAUCUGCAUGUCAAAAAAAAAAAAACAGUUAACAUUUACUUACUAUGCAAAGGGGAAAACGUUGCACAAACCCAAAGGUUUGGUAAAGAAUUCUCGACCGAGACUAACAAUGAAAUUGAUCUCAAGCUAGCGGAUUAUUAAUAAGGCAGUCUUUUAUAUGCUCGGCCAUCUAUGUUUGACAUUAUAAUAAGCUUCUGAUUACUUAAAAUGAAUGUUUCUAUGAAAAUCACAGCUUCUGAAAAACACAAACGUCAUUGUCAUCUGUGUGGGACAGCAUAAACUUGAGGCACUUGCGAUAUUAUUAAUAGAACGGGGCUUUUUGCAAUGGAGGGAGCUCGUAUUUUGGCCGAUUCCACUGAAAUAUGAGCAGAGAGAGAGAGGGUGUUUUUCUAUACUACCAUUGAUCUACACCAUCAGGUUUUUGAACUCAUCUUCUAAACCCUGAGCCCUUUUACAGCCAUCCCAUGUUCCCAUGGAAACAUCGCCAAAACAACAGAUAAUGAUAAUAAAAUUGAUAAAAAUUUA